ACAUCUGACGCGGGUUGUGACACUGAAGAUGACCUUUGGCCGAAGAGGUUACAGCAGAUGAGAAAUAUAACUGUGCAAACAGAAGCACUGUAAUUUUAAAAAGCACUAGAUACCAAUGGGAUCAUCUGGCAGUGCGGGCCUAGGAAGAUGAAAUGCAGAUUUUGAGGUGUAAAGAAACAAGGACAGCGGAGGGGUGGAGGCAUCUCUGCCUUCGUACUUUCACAAAAGAUGAAGAACAGAAUCGCGCCACACUGUGGACAGAUUCCGGUUCUCAGGCACCUCCACUGGAAGGCUGUGCCUCAGAAAUGGCUUUGAAGUGUCUUGGAGCCUCGAGGUGGGAAGAGGGUAGAAUUCCUCCGUCUGGGAGCAGGAGUUUCUCAGGAGCGAGCACAGAUGGAUUCAGGCCCUGGUAACAAAGGCAGCGACGGCAGCAGAGCCCUUGCCUUUGAUGUGUGAAGAUUAAACAUCAUGUCAAAGCCAGCACCGCAAAGCUUCACUGAAACGUGAUAAUAUGGAAGCCUGAUAUAUUCGAGGCCAGAGCUCUACCUAGAUAAAAAUCAGAUUAUUAAUGACAGUUUCCAGUUUAAAACAAGAAGUCUUAAGAUGUGUUUGCUCAGCCGCCAUGUGCAGAUGGCUGGUGGCAGACACAUGUGGGCCACAUGCUCACAGAGCUGGGCAGCCCUGUCCCCAUUGCCCCUGGUGGCAGAAACCCAGGUGCUGAGGUCCAAGUGGGGCCAGCCACUGUCCUGGAGGUUGCAGAGCAAGAUUCUGUCUCUAGUGAAAGACACUGCGAAUCCACAGCUCCCCUCACACAACUGCCCCUCCAGCUAGAACACAGCAGUUAGAAGACUCCCCCCAAGGAUACUGCAGGCCUGCCCUGGGCCGGGGACCUCCCACUCAAGAUGCGAACUUUAGAAAGCCUUGUCCUCUCCUUAAAAAAGAUGGGCACACAGGUAGGGAAAUGUCACUGGAUACCAGGGAAGGGGGUGAUUCUAGACUGGACCAGCUCCAGCCAGACACGUGACUGGGGACAAGACCCUUUAUUUGGGGCUCCAGUUUGCUCAGUCAUAACUGGAGAUGCCUGACUUUCUAGUGGCACUGACUAACACCACAGCAUAAAGUAGCCCUUGGAUCACUUUUGGAGGGUGGGACUCAGUACAGACCUAACAGAUGAAGGGACUUUGAACGGGAAGUUUCUCAGAUUUGUGUGGGAACCCUGAUUAGGCAGUAGGACAGUGCUCACCUUGGCUGGAAGGUGCAUGUUGGGGAAAGACGAAGGGCAGGGAGAGAGAGCAGACGUAGGAAGAAGCUGCACGGAUGGGGUCCUCACAGUCCUUUUGGGCAUCUCCCUCCUGGAUCCUCCUCAGGCCUUUGGGACAGGAAACGCCUGGCUGCAUUUGCCUUUGAUAAGUCAGUGGAGGCUCACAUGGUGAGGAUGAUCUAAACCAGAAUUUGGGUCUGGUCACCAUGGGAAAUUUAGUGUGCUGUGUGGAUGAAUCCAACCGCAAAGCCACCCGGUGUGGGCCCUCUCAGUCUUGGCCAUGCAGAAAACAGCCUGGCCUUGUGAAGAGUUUGAAGGUCCCUUGGCGACGAGAGGGCUGAGGGCAGAAGGAGGGAACGCUGGUGUGGGCAUCAGAAAAUCAGACUUCUGAUCCUCUCUGGGGGCUCAGGGGCCGCCAUGCCAUUGUGUCUCUGGUGUCCAUGGCUCCCCCUGGAAGUUGCUAGAGGCCUGGGGCUGAUGUAGGCAACCACCGUGUCCAGUCUGCAGCACAUGAGAUGUGCUUGAUAAGAGGGUGACCACUAAGUGGAGUGUGGUGGAGCACACCUACAAUCCCAAUAUUCUGGGAGGCUGAGGCAGGAGGAGGGCAAGUUCAGCCCAGCCUGUGCAAUCUAGAGACUUAGCAAGACCUUGUCUAAAAAGGGGAGGGGGUGGAGAUGCCACUCAGUUUGAAGGCCCUGAUUUCUAUCCCCAGUGCCACAAAAACAAAAGCAAAUAGUGGGAGCUAUCACUCAUCAUCCCGUUGUUGAGGAAGUGCACGUGAGCUCUCAAACAGCAGAGAGCAGAGGUGUGAAGACUGUACUAAAUGCACCCUGAGCGGCAGGGCCAAGGCCUGUGUGGGCUCCGGAAUCUGCAACUGCAGUGUGGGUUGUCCUCAGCUGGCCUUCGAUCUGUGUCUAUUGCACACAAUCCUCCACCCAGGCAGACAGAAGCCGGCUAGGAGGGUGCCUACCCCCCCACGCCCACACGCCCUAGGAAGACAGAGGCAUAGCUUCGUGCACAGGGGAAGGCAAGUGGAAAAUAAAGUGCCGUUUACCAGUGUCUGAUGACUCAUCUGAGGAAAAAAAGGGCUCAGGAGCUGGAGGGCAGGAAAUGUUGCUGUUUGCUUCCUUGGGUUUUAAUUGACCUGGUGAGAGUUCAGCUUGGUGACCACCAGCAGGCUGACUGUGUUUCUGUGAGGAGAGAAGGUCUCUAAAGGCCCGGCCCUUUGAGCUUGGGUCAGUGGCGCUGAACAAGGACCCAGGCACAGGGGCCUUUCAGAGCUACCUAGGGGGCUCUGCUGUAAGCUGAGCUUGGGAAUCCCAGCUCCACCUCCUGAUAGUCAAAACAAACACAUAUUCACCGAUUUCUGCAGGUGGCCCUUUGCCAUGCCACCCUACCUAUCCCUUGCACAACAGCUGCAGGAUUCCAUUCUGCCCAGGAACCCAGGACCCUGAGAAGUAUUGUCAUUCUCUUAGGCCUGUGAACCUUUAGAUCAGCACUCAGGCCCACUAGGAAAGUUUUGCCUAUGUUUGGCUAAUGAUGAGAUCACACAUUUCUACACAGGCACAAAGCCUACCCGCAUUUCACCUUCAAGUCUGAACUGUGCACACUCCAGACUUCUCUGCUGCUUUCAUUGUGCAGUGGUGCCUUGGAGGCACCGACCUGCGUAUACCAGAUGGUCCAAAGGUCCCAAACUCUGUUUGAUCUCCACUGACCCAGGGAAAAC
ensembl:lincRNA